GUUGGACAUUGAAGGGUGAAGAGGGCGGAGAAGAAUUUUAUUGAGCAAGGGAACAGCAAUUAGCGGAGAAGGGACUCUGGGGGGUGGUCGCCCACCCCCUUAGUCGGAUGGUUUUUUCCUCCCCUCGUGGCUGGGUCACGAGCUUUUUAUAGGCUUAGAAUAGGGGAGGGGCAGGUCAUAGGUAGUAUUGGAAAAGGCAACGCUUGAUCGGUUAAAACGCAUUAUUUAGAAAUAAUUAAUCAGGAAAGAGCGGGGGCAAAAAGGAACAGAAAUACUCAGCCUGUGUCGCGGGUUUCAUCUGGGACCAGCAGUUCAGUGUUUUUGGCUGGAAGGUGGGGUUUCACCCCAUCCUCCUGGGCAUUUAGCAGCCUCCAGCCGCUCUCACUUUCGUGUGCCAUGGACGAGAUGAUAAACUGAGAUUGUAGAGGAGUUGCAGUUCUUGGCAGUGACCAGGUCUAGAGAACGACCACUGAGUGCAGUGGAAAUGACAUUGAGCCACUUAUGAAUCUAUGCCUCAAGAAGUCUUUCAUGCUCCUGUUCUCUCUCGUGGACCUCUCUCAAAUGGAUGAUGUGAUAAAAACAAACCCAGGCUGGCCUAAUGAAGGACAAGAGACCAUGUGGAGGAAUGACAAGUUGUCCCAGCCAAGGCCCUAGGCCAGUCAACCCCUUGCCAAUCUCCAAGCAGAAAUCUGCCAAGA
rnacentral:lncRNA from 10 species